AGCCCACCUGGCAGGGUGUCCAUGGGGUCACUAAAAGGGAGGGGUUUCCAGAAAGAGAGACCCCUGUGCAGGGGGAGUGUCAGUGAGACGUGGUGGUAGUGAUGAGUUUAGAGUCUGCUGUUUCCUGGGGAAGGCGCGGGAGAGCAGGGACGGUAGACUGAAUGUGGGGUUUGUGAGAACCCUCCUCUGUGAUCCCUGACUCUGAGGAGUAAGCUUGACACUCUUUGCAGAGGCGCUGCCUGGACCAGACUCUUGGAAAGCAUCAAAGAAAAAUAUCAUCAAGCCCUAAGUGAAUAUGCUGCAUCUUAAGACGUCCGUGAUUCCCUGGUGGAUUAUUUACCAUCUGAGCCACCAGGACUGGGGAGUAAGACACACAGUGAGACACGGUUAACAGGUCUAGGAACCAGCAGGAAGCCCGAGGCGGUGGCUGGGGUGCUGUGUGCACCUGCACUUCCAAGAGUUCUAGAGUUGCUUCCUGAAGAGUGUCACGUGUUCAGAGUGAACUGGACUGAAGUUGUCAAAUCUUGAUCU
rnacentral:lncRNA from 1 species